rnacentral:rRNA from 1 species
CGAAGCAACGCGAAGUAACCUUACCAGGUCUUGACAUCCGAUGCUUAUUUCUAGAGUAUAGAAAGUUACUUCGGUACAUCGGUGACAGGUGGUGCAUGGUUGUCGUCAGCUCGUGUCGUGAGAUGUUGGGUUAAGUCCCGCAACGAGCGCAACCCCUAUUGUUAGUUGCCAUCAUUCAGUUGGGCACUCUAGCGAGACUGCCGGUAAUAAACCGGAGGAAGGUGGGAUGACGUCAAAUCAUCAUGCCCCUUAUGACCUGGGCUACACACGUGCUACAAUGGUUGGUACAACGAGUUGCGAGUCGGUGACGGCGAGCUAAUCUCUUAAAGCCAAUCUCAGUUCGGAUUGUAGGCUGCAACUCGCCUACAUGAAGUCGGAAUCGCUAGUAAUCGCGGAUCAGCACGCCGCGGUGAAUACGUUCCCGGGCCUU